GACGAACGCUGGCGGCGUGCCUAAUACAUGCAAGUAGAACGCUGAAGGAGGAGCUUGCUUCUCUGGAUGAGUUGCGAACGGGUGAGUAACGCGUAUGUAACCUGCCUGGUAUCGGGGGAUAACUAUUGGAAACGAUAGCUAAUACCGCAUAAUAGUAGAUGUUGCAUGACAUUUGCUUAAAAGGUGCAAUUGCAUCACUACCAUAUGGACCUGCGUUGUAUUCGCUAUUUGGUGAGGUAACGGCUCACCAAGGCAACGAUACAUAUCCGACCGGAGAGGGGGAUCGGCCACACUGGGACUGAGACACGGCCCAGAAUCCUAAGGGAGGCAGCAGGAGGGAAUCUUCGGAAAUGGACGGAAGGCUGAACGAGCAACGCCGCGGGAGUGAAGAAGGGUUUCGGAUCGUAAAGCUCUGUUGUAAGAGAAGAACGAGCGUGAGAGUGGAAAGUUCACACUGUGACGGUAUCUUACCAGAAAGGGACGGCUAACUACGUG
rnacentral:rRNA from 1 species